UUUUUUUUUUUGUUUCUUUUUGAGAUUAAAAUUUCAUAAUACAAGUUUUCUGUGGGAUAUCAUUGUUCGUCCAAGACCCGUCGUCUGUUCGUACUUCUGAGGCGAACCAGGAUUAGUAGCUUGCGGAUAAUCACGUGGACUAGCAAGAUGGUUAUGAUCUGAGAGAGUCUGGUGAUCUCCGCAUUUACUUUUCCUCGGAGGUUCCUUUUAUUUUUAAUAAAACUGUAAAACUGUUUUAUUCUUAGACCGCAGUAGUAAAUAGACGUCUUUAUUAUUAUUAUUAUAUAUUUUGUCGGAUUGGUUCGACUGGUUAUAUUGC